rnacentral:rRNA from 1 species
UGUCGUCAGCUCGUGUCGUGAGAUGUUGGGUUAAGUCCCGCAACGAGCGCAACCCCUGCCCUUAGUUGCCAGCGGGUUGGGCCGGGCACUCUAAGGGGACUGCCUGCGAAAGCAGGAGGAAGGCGGGGACGACGUCUGGUCAUCAUGGCCCUUACGGCCUGGGCGACACACGUGCUACAAUGCCCACUACAGAGCGAGGCGACCCAGUGAUGGGGAGCGAAUCGCAAAAAGGUGGGCGUAGUUCGGAUUGGGGUCUGCAACCCGACCCCAUGAAGCCGGAAUCGCUAGUAAUCGCGGAUCAGCCAUGCCGCGGUGAAUACGUUCCCGG